GCCAGGAUUCCACUUGGAUUCACAGUAGUAACAGAAACCCCUAUCCCUUGUAUCUUUCAUUUGUUUUGGCUUAAUCUUUUGAAUUGGUAUAAUGGCUUUGGAUUGGUGGUGGGAAUUGUUUGUGAAACUGUUUGGUGGGUGUUUCAGGAUUUCAGGUUCAUGGGGGUAGUACUAACACCUAAUAUUUUUUUUAGACACUCCUACAUUCUCCUCUUUAAUUUUUGCCAAACUAUAGGCUGCCAAUAAAUUAUUGGGGUUAAACAUGCGCACUGACAGUCUUAUCUCAUCUCUCAGUCCACUUAAAAAGCAAUUGAGCUUAUACCCUUCUGAUAGGCCUCUCAACCUAUUAGACAACCCUUCAAAAUCUGAUAUAUACUCUUCUACUGAACCAGUUUGUUUCAACCUGGUUAAAAAUUCCAUGAGAUCAUCAUAAGAUGAGGACCCAAAUUUUACUAGUAAGGCUCGGCUAAACCCCUCCCAGUCAAAUAUGGUUCCUAAUUCCUUUAAAUCCUAGAACCACACUAGUGCUUGACCCUCCAUAUGAAAUGAGGCCAACAAAGUUGUGUUGAGCUAAAGUGUUGUGAUAUGCAAAGUAGUGAUUGGUCUUAUACAACCAACCACUUGGAUCCUCACCAUGAAAAGUAGGGAAAUCAAUCCUUACCUACCGAUGAUGGUUUUCUUGUCCAAGCUCCCCUUGUGCAAAUUGAUGGCCUUGGUUAUCUGCUAAAGAUUCACCAUGUUCUUAAGCUAUGAGUUAGUGGAUUUCUUCAAGGAAGAUAACCCAUCCUAAAGUUGAUUGAGGCGUGUACCGUCUGCCAUUGUUCCUGAACCGAAUGAUAAAGAAGAAGAUUGAAUCAAGUGAUGGUCACUAUGGAUCAAUCUCUUAUACCAACUGUUACACUCUCAAAUCCGUGAUGUAUUUUUAUGAAUUUUUUAUGUAAGGAUGACUAUAAUAGUGAACCUCUUAGAGGGGAGUACCUCUAGAAAGUUAGAGAGAGAGAAGAGAGAAUUGGAUAACAACUUUGAUUGAAAUUUAACAUAAACAUUCAGCACAGUAGGUUGGCCCUCUAAUAGAGUCUGACACAUGGAAUAACAGAAUAGAUUCUAUUCUA